ensembl:snRNA U6 U6 spliceosomal RNA
GUACUUGCUUCAGCAGCACAUAUACUAAAACUGGAAUGAUAUAGAGAAGAUAAGCAUGGCCUCUGCACAAGGAUGACACACAAAUUUGUGAAGCGUUCCAUAUUUUU